rnacentral:rRNA from 1 species
GACGUAGGGCGCGAGCGUUGUCCGGAUUUAUUGGGCGUAAAGAGCUCGUAGGCGGCUUGUUGCGUCGACCGUGAAAACCCGUGGCUUAACUGCGGGCUUGCGGUCGAUACGGGCGGGCUGGAGUUCGGUAGGGGAGACUGGAAUUCCUGGUGUAGCGGUGAAAUGCGCAGAUAUCAGGAGGAACACCGGUGGCGAAGGCGGGUCUCUGGGCCGAUACUGACGCUGAGGAGCGAAAGCCAGGGGAGCAAACGGG